rnacentral:rRNA from 1 species
CUUUUACAAUGAAGAGUUUGAUCCUGGCUCAGGAUGAACGCUAGCUACAGGCUUAACACAUGCAAGUCGAGGGGCAGCAUGAACUUAGCUUGCUAAGUUUGAUGGCGACCGGCGCACGGGUGAGUAACACGUAUCCAACCUGCCGAUGACUCGGGGAUAGCCUUUCGAAAGAAAGAUUAAUACCCGAUGGCAUAGUUCUUCCGCAUGGUAGAACUAUUAAAGAAUUUCGGUCAUCGAUGGGGAUGCGUUCCAUUAGGUUGUUGGCGGGGUAACGGCCCACCAAGCCUUCGAUGGAUAGGGGUUCUGAGAGGAAGGUCCCCCACAUUGGAACUGAGACACGGUCCAAACUCCUACGGGAGGCAGCAGUGAGGAAUAUUGGUCAAUGGACGAGAGUCUGAACCAGCCAAGUAGCGUGAAGGAUGACUGCCCUAUGGGUUGUAAACUUCUUUUAUACGGGAAUAAAGUGAGGCACGUGUGCCUUUUUGUAUGUACCGUAUGAAUAAGGAUCGGCUAACUCCGUGCCAGCAGCCGCGGUAAUACGGAGGAUCCGAGCGUUAUCCGGAUUUAUUGGGUUUAAAGGGAGCGUAGGCGGACGCUUAAGUCAGUUGUGAAAGUUUGCGGCUCAACCGUAAAAUUGCAGUUGAUACUGGGUGUCUUGAGUACAGUAGAGGCAGGCGGAAUUCGUGGUGUAGCGGUGAAAUGCUUAGAUAUCACGAAGAACUCCGAUUGCGAAGGCAGCCUGCUGGACUGUAACUGACGCUGAUGCUCGAAAGUGUGGGUAUCAAACAGGAUUAGAUACCCUGGUAGUCCACACAGUAAACGAUGAAUACUCGCUGUUUGCGAUAUACAGUAAGCGGCCAAGCGAAAGCGUUAAGUAUUCCACCUGGGGAGUACGCCGGCAACGGUGAAACUCAAAGGAAUUGACGGGGGCCCGCACAAGCGGAGGAACAUGUGGUUUAAUUCGAUGAUACGCGAGGAACCUUACCCGGGCUUGAAUUGCAACUGAAUGAUGUGGAGACAUGUCAGCCGCAAGGCAGUUGUGAAGGUGCUGCAUGGUUGUCGUCAGCUCGUGCCGUGAGGUGUCGGCUUAAGUGCCAUAACGAGCGCAACCCUUAUCGAUAGUUACCAUCAGGUGAUGCUGGGGACUCUGUCGAGACUGCCGUCGUAAGAUGUGAGGAAGGUGGGGAUGACGUCAAAUCAGCACGGCCCUUACGUCCGGGGCUACACACGUGUUACAAUGGGGGGUACAGAAGGCAGCUACACGGCGACGUGAUGCUAAUCCCGAAAGCCUCUCAGUUCGGAUUGAGUCUGCAACCCGACUCCAUGAAGCUGGAUUCGCUAGUAAUCGCGCAUCAGCCACGGCGCGGUGAAUACGUUCCCGGCCUUGUACACACCGCCCGUCAAGCCAUGAAAGCCGGGGGUACCUGAAGUGCGUAACCGCAAGGAGCGCCCUAGGGUAAAACUGGUGAUUGGGGCUAAGUCGUAACAAGGUAGCCGUACCGGAAGGUGCGGCUGGAACACCUCCUUC